CUACGGGGGGCUGCAGUGGGGAAUAUUGGACAAUGGGGGAAACCCUGAUCCAGCAAUGCCGCGUGUGUGAAGAAGGCCUGCGGGUUGUAAAGCACUUUCGGUUGGGAGGACUGCUUCUAGCACUAAUAUUGUUGGAAGUUGACGUUACCUUCAGAAGAAGCACCGGCUAACUCCGUGCCAGCAGCCGCGGUAAUACUGAGGGUGCAAGCGUUAAUCGGAAUUACUGGGCGUAAAGCACGCGUAGGCGGCUAGAUCAGUCGGGUGUGAAAGCCCCGGGCUUAACCUGGGAACUGCAUCCGAUACUGUCUAGCUUGAGUACAGGAGAGGAGAGUGGAAUUCCACAUGUAGCGGUGAAAUGCGUAGAUAUGUGGAGGAACACCAAUGGCGAAGGCAGCUCUCUGGCCUGAUACUGACGCUGAGGUGCGAAAGCGUGGGGAGCAAACAGGAUUAGAUACCCGGGUAGUC
rnacentral:rRNA from 1 species